rnacentral:rRNA from 1 species
CCUACGGGUGGCAGCAGUGGGGAAUCUUGCACAAUGGGGGAAACCCUGAUGCAGCGACGCCGCGUGAGCGAUGAAGCCCUUCGGGGUGUAAAGCUCUUUCGGCAGGAACGCGGUACCUGCAGAAGAAGCUGCGGCUAACUACGUGCCAGCAGCCGCGGUAAUACGUAGGCAGCAAGCGUUGUUCGGAAUUACUGGGCGUAAAGAGUGUGUAGGCGGUUCUCUAAGUUCCGUGUGAAAUCUCCCGGCUUAACUGGGAGGGUGCGCGGAAAACUGGAGGGCUGGAGUAUGGGAGAGGAAAGCGGAAUUCCUGGUGUAGCGGUGAAAUGCGUAGAUAUCAGGAGGAACACCUGCGGUGUAGACAGCUUUCUGGACCAUACUGACGCUGAGACACGAAAGCGUGGGUAGCAAACAGGAUUAGAUACCCUUGUAGUC